rnacentral:lncRNA from 1 species
GAUAAAACUCCAGCUGCUUAGGUUCUGGUUAACUAGUUUCUGCUGAGAGCAGGCCUCAUUAAGAAGUACAGAAUGCUCUGGUGAAUUUCAAAAUGGUUGCUUCCCUCUCCCACUGGGAGAAGCACAAGGGUAUUUUUCCCUGGUAUUCACUGUGAGAACCUGGCCAGGCUCCAGGAGGUAAAAUUCACAAAAUGUGGGGACCUCGCUAUGAUUGUGUCACCCUGGAGGUUUUAUCUCUGAGACUUUCCACACGGAGCCUCCAAAUUCUUCAGUUACAGUUAAGGUUUUGCUACUCCACGCUGGUUUCCAUGGAGAUUUCAGCUCAUGGGUUUCUGCUCUGAUGAAGAAACAAAUUCAGUAACGUGAUCACGGUCAGACAAAGAGUAGAAAAUGAACUGGAAUUUCAACCCAGGCCACAUGACUCCAGAGAAGUUAACCUCAGUCACAGUGUCAUGAUGCAUUGGAAAUCCAUGUCUAGAAAUGGCUUUUAUGGUUCUUAAAUCACAGAAUGUUCUGAUGGAAGAGAAGAUAAUUGUGGACACUAUAAAAAAACGGAUGAACUAUUCCGACAUCUCGAAAGCUGUGAGCUAUAAUGGUUCCUUGCUGAAUCCUUUUCGUAAAUUCAUUGGAGACGAGGUUGGUGGAAACAUGCUAGUGCUAAAUUUCUGUGAUGCGUUCACCUGUAUGGUAGUUGGAGGAGGCUGCAGAAUCUCUACUAUUGGUGUGCCUGGCAUGAAGAUGGCCAGUGAGGAGCAUGAGCAAGAGAUGAAAUUCAGCCCUUCCCACCAAUCAAGCCAUAUUUACCCUUCAUCAGCCUGGAGAAAGGGGUGCCUUUUGGCUAUUUGCUCAAAGGUGCUAUAUGUGCUAACAGCAGUCCAGUUUUGUCUAAGUACUUUAUACAAAUAGAGUCCUAAGUAUAUAUUCUUUUGUGUCUUGCUUCUUUCUCUCAACUUUAUUUUGGUGGCUUCAUCCAAAUUAUUGUAUGCAGUUGUAAUGCAUUCAUUCUCAGUGUUGUAGAGUGUUUACAUAAUUUGCUUAUCUAUUCUGCUAUUGAUGUGCAUUCGAGUAGUUUUAGUUUGGGGCAUAUAAAUAUUUUUGCUAUAACAAUUAGAGUAGAUGUUUUGGGGAAAUAUAUUUACUUAUUUCUGUUUGAUAUAUUCCUGGAACUACUGUUGCUGGAUCAUAGCAUACAUAUAUGAAUGUUUACUUUUAGUAGUAUGACCAAUAGUUUUCCAAAGUGUUUUGCUAAUUUACAUUCCCACCAUUUGUGUUUGGGGUUCUGGUUAUUCCACAUUUUUGCCAUUACUUAGUAUUUUCAUAUUCUUCAUUUUAGCCAUUCUGAUGGGUAUGUAACGAUUUUCCAUUAUGGUGUAAUUCGCAUUUCCCUGAUAAUUAACAAAGUUGAGCACCUUUCAACAUAUGCAUUAUCCAUUUGGAUAUCCUCUUUUAUUGUGUCUCUUAAUGUCUUUUGCCUAUUUUUAUAUUGGAUUGUCCACUUUCUUCUUAUUGAUUAAUAGGGACUCUUUAUACAGUCUUUUGUUGAAUUUGUGUUUUGAGAAAAUGUUCCCUUAUUUGUAGAUUGCUUUAUCAUUCUCCUAAAGGUGUUUUUGAUAACAGGGAUUCUUAAUUUUAAUCUAAUAUGGUUUAACAAGUUUUUCUUUUGUGGUUACUGCCUUUGGGGUCCUAUUUAAGAAAUCUUUGCAUAUUCCAAGUUCAUAAAGAUUUCCCUUUUUCUUUAAAGCUUUAUUAUUUUACCUUUAACUUUUAGAUUUCCAUUUUUGAACUGAUGAUUUUUGCAUGCUAAAUGUCCAGAUACAUUUUAUUUUACAGAUAUCCAAUUGAGCCCAGCUUCAUCUAUUGAAAAGUCCAUUUUUUUCCCACUGUGAUAUGCAUCACUUUUCUCACAAAUUCUAGGCAAAUUUUAAAGUUGAAAAACAACAUUAAGAAAAAUGACAUGAUGUGUAAUUAGUGCCCACUGAGAACAUUCACAUUUUAAAUGUUUUUUUCUUUUUUUGGAGUUGUUGAAAUAUUUAACAAAAUAUUUUAUUAACUUCUUAUCUAUUUUUAUUUAUUUAUUUAUUCAAUUCAGUGAGAAGCAGUGUAAUAAAAUGGCUGCUAUCUCUGUCCCUCAUCAUUGUGGUUUGUGAUGAUACUUCCUUGAGUGAUCUGCUGGUUUUUAUUAAGCUUUCUUGCCAUGUGCAGAUGACAAAUAAAAAAAGAGACAUGAACUAAAAGAUGUGCUUCUGCUCAUAG